CUUUGGUGGCCCCUGUGAAAGGGUUCUUUGCUACCCUCAAAGGGGUUGAGAACCACUGCAGUAGAGGAAGGCCAGAUUCAAGGAUCCUGGGCUCUUGCCAUUCCUCACUCAUGUAGCAGUGACCUUGGUUGGCAUCUCCUCAAAGAAGGAACAGUGGCUGAUCUUUUGACCUCUUGAUAUCCUUAGAAGACUUAACCUUCCUAGCUUCUUUAAGGGCCUUGUAUAGGGGCUGAAGAAAUUACCCAGCAAUUAAGAACACAUUCUGUUCUGGUAGGGGACUCAAGUUUAGUUUCCAGCAUCCAGAUCAAGUGGCUCACAACCACCUGUCACCCCAGCUCCAGGAGAUGCAAAGCCUCAGUUCGUUCUCUCUCUCUCUCUCUCUCUCUCUCUCUCUCUCUCUCUCUCUCUCUCUCUCUUUUCUCAAUAAUGAAAAGGCCUUUCUAUUCAACCACAUGCAGAGUGGCCCACAAAGCCUCAUCCUGGUGUUAGUCCUUCGAAUCCCACAAAAAGAGAGCACAGCAUUGGGUAGGGCUAAUCCAGUAAGACAGCCUCAAAGAUGACUUUGAUGGCUUAAGAUGAUACCUUUGAGGGCACAAUGCAAGUGCAUCUCUAGAACCUUCUAUUCUAGAACCUACACCCAGUCCUCUGGAGUCUUUACUCCCCAAUCAGUCCAGAGCUGUAGUAGGCUCCUCCUGAGGCUCUCGAUCUUACUCUCUUAGCCUAAAACCCAUUAAGUCUUUAGAAACUUUUUCUUCAAGGGGCAGCAGGUCUCUCCUGGCCUUCUGCUUCCCCAGGCCCUUACCCUCUGAAACAAGUUAGACUUCAGCUGUGUCCUUUCCCCUGGCCGACGGGCAGUAAACUGGCCCACCAAGUCCAGUUCUGUGGCACCCUGCCUUCCAUGAGGAGCAACAGCCGGCGCAAGGAGGACCAGAGGGUGUUCAUAGAGCAGGUUCGAGAAUGCAUGAACAAUGGUUACUUGCUCUCCUCCAAGAAGAUCGGAUCUGGUGCUUUCUCCAAGGUCUACCUGGCCUAUGCAACACGUGAACGCAUGAAGCACAACCCUAGGCUAUCCUCUGACUUGCGGGGCAAGCACCACAGUAUGGUGGCUAUUAAGAUUGUGUCCAUGGCGGAAGCCCCAGCGGAGUACUCCAGAAAGUUCCUGCCCCGUGAGAUUUUAUCCCUCAACGCCACCUACAAGCACAUGAACAUAGUUCAGCUGUAUGAGACCUACCAAAACAGCCAGCGCUCCUACCUGGUACUGGAGUUGGCAGCUAGAGGUGACCUGUUGGAGUACAUUAAUGCAGUGUCAGACCUCCGAUGUUGCCCAGGGCUGGAGGAGGAAGAGGCCCGAAGGCUGUUCUGGCAACUGGUCAGCGCUGUGGCCCACUGCCACAGUGUUGGCAUUGUUCAUAGGGACUUGAAAUGUGAAAAUAUCCUGUUGGAUGACCAGGGCUUCCUAAAGCUGACAGAUUUUGGCUUUGCCAACUGGGUGGGGAUCAAGAACUCCCUGCUGAGCACCUUCUGUGGCUCUGUGGCCUAUACGGCCCCAGAGAUCCUCAUGAGCAAGAAAUACAACGGCCCAGGCUGUCCCCAGGUGAGCAUCACCACACCAUGCUCCUUCCAAGGCCCAGCUCGAGCCUGGAGGGCAGCCAGAGAGACCAGGACGACGGCAAAGAGAACAUGGUAUCACACUUCCCCGAUAUGCUGGAAAAGCAUGGCCCACGCACUGUAUGUUGGGGAAGUUGAGCUGAGGUUGGGAUGGUCUUGAAGGAUACCAGCCCUACUGAAUAUCUAACAUGGCACUUGCUCUAACAUGGCAGAGCCUCCUCUGUGCCUCAGUCCCCUUUUGAUAAUAGCCCUGAACCUUUGAUUCCUCUUAAGUUGCCAACAUUUCUGACAGUAGUUGAAUGUGGGUCAGGAUUGUGGCAGGCUCCAGCAGUGAGCCCUCCCCUGUAGAGUGCCGGGACCUGAUCAGAGGGCUGCUUCAGCUGCAUCCGGGUGACCGCCUGGACCUACAGCAGGUGGCUGCUCACUGCUGGAUGCUGCCUGCAGAGCACAUGCUGUCCUCUGUACUUGGAGCUACCCGAGAACAGAAGCAUUCCUGG